CGGUGUUUAACUGGCGUGAUGUGGGACGUCCUACCGGUGGGCUUAGCCUCGCGAGGGGCGGCCCAACUAAUAUCCCGUCGCGGUGCUCUUUACUGAGUGUCGAGUCGGGCCGGUACGUUUACUUUGAACAAAUUAGAGUGCUUAAAGCAGGCUAUCCUCGCCUGAAUACUGCGUGCAUGGAAUAAUGGAAUAGGACCUCGGUUCUAUUUUGUUGGGUUUUCGGAACCCCGAGGUAAUGAUUAAUAGGGACAGAUGGGGGCAUUCGUAUUGCGACGUUAGAGGUGAAAAUUCUUGGAUCGUCGCAAGACGGACAGAAGCGAAAGCAUUUGCCCAAAAAAUGUUUUCAUUAAUCAAGAACGAAAGUUAGAGGUUCGAAGGCGAUCAGAUACCGCCCUAGUUCUAACCAUAAACGAUGCCAGCUAGCGAUCCGCCGAAGUUCCUCCGAUGACUCGGCGGGCAGCUUCCGGGAAACCAAAGCUUUUGGGUUCCGGGGGAAGUAUGGUUGCAAAGCUGAAACUUAAAGGAAUUGACGGAAGGGCACCACCAGGAGUGGAGCCUGCGGCUUAAUUUGACUCAACACGGGAAACCUCACCAGGCCCAGACACCGGAAGGAUUGACAGAUUGAUAGCUCUUUCUUGAUUCGGUGGGUGGUGGUGCAUGGCCGUUCUUAGUUGGUGGAGCGAUUUGUCUGGUUAAUUCCGAUAACGAACGAGACUCUAGCCUGCUAAAUAGGCGUACCUUAUGGUAUCGCGAAGGCCCCCGGCUUCGGCCGGUGGGUUUUUACUACCAACGUACAAACAAAUCUUCUUAGAGGGACAGGCGG
rnacentral:rRNA from 1 species